rnacentral:rRNA from 1 species
UACUAGAGUAGCACUCGCAUAUCAAUAAGCGGAGGAAAAGAAACUAACAAGGAUUCCCCUAGUAACGGCGAGUGAAGCGGGAAGAGCUCAAAUUUGAAAUCUUAAAGGGUUUCCCUUUACGAAUUGUAGUUUAAAGAAGUGUUUUCUGUUGGAGUUUCGGUAAAAGUUCUUUGGAAUAGGACAUCACAGAGGGUGAGAAUCCCGUAUUUGACCGUUACUUUCCAGCUGUGUGAUACACUUUCAAAGAGUCGGAUUGUUUGGGAAUGCAGUCCAAAAUGGGUGGUAAAUUUCAUCUAAAGCUAAAUAUUGGCGAGAGACCGAUAGCGAACAAGUACCGUGAGGGAAAGAUGAAAAGAACUUUGAAAAGAGAGUUAAACAGUACGUGAAAUUGUCAAAAGGGAAGCGUUUGACACCAGUGUUGUUUAGUUGAAAAUCAAUUCAAUAAUUUUUGAUUUUAAGUAGUAUUGACUUCAUCAGCUUGCUGCUUUCUUUUCAGGAAUUAUUGAAUGCACUUUUCAGUUAACAAGUCAACAUCAAUUUCUUUUGUUGUAAAAGGGUAAGAGGAAGGUGGCUUACGCUUCGGCGUAAGUGUUUAUAGCCUUUUACCUCUGCAAUCGGAGAGAUUGAGGACAGCAGCGUAGACUCCUUCGGGGGUUAGAUACACUUGUGCUAAGCUAUAGCCUUGUAUAGACAACUUGUUGACUAUGCUCAGUCAUGUAGCUUACUCGCUUGUGCUAUUUUACCUACGCUUAGGAUGUUGAAGAUAUGCGCGACACG